AUUGAACGCUAGCGGGAUGCUUUACACAUGCAAGUCGAACGGAGUGGCGGACGGGUGAGUAAUAUAUCGGAACGUGCACAGUAGCGGGGGAUAACUAGUCGACAGAGUGGCUACUACCGCAUACUAUUUUAGCGGCAGAUAGCGGAUUAGCUAGUUGGUGGGGUAAAGGCUCACCAAGGCAACUAGCCGUAGCUGGUUUGAGAGGAAGACCAGGCACACUUGGACGGAGACACGGCCCAGACUCCUACGGGAGGCAGCAGUGGGGAAUUUUGGGCAAUGGGCGAAACCCUGAUACAGCCAACCCGCGUGUAUGAGGAAGGCCUUCGGGUUGUAAAGUACUUUUGGCAGAGAAGCGGUAUCUGCAGAAUAAGCACCGGCUAACUACGUGCAAGCAGCCGCGGUAAUUC
rnacentral:rRNA from 1 species